UCAUUGACAGAAUAGUCAGGUGUAUGAC
rnacentral:sRNA from 1 species